UGGGGAAUAUUGCACAAUGGGCGCAAGCCUGAUGCAGCCAUGCCGCGUGUAUGAAGAAGGCCUUCGGGUUGUAAAGUACUUUCAGCGGGGAGGAAGGUGUUGUGGUUAAUAACCUCAGCAAUUGACGUUACCCGCAGAAGAAGCACCGGCUAACUCCGUGCCAGCAGCCGCGGUAAUACGGAGGGUGCAAGCGUUAAUCGGAAUUACUGGGCGUAAAGCGCACGCAGGCGGUAUGUCAAGUCGGAUGUGAAAUCCCCGGGCUCAACCUGGGAACUGCAUCCGAAACUGGCAGGCUUGAGUCUUGUAGAGGGGGGUAGAAUUCCAGGUGUAGCGGUGAAAUGCGUAGAGAUCUGGAGGAAUACCGGUGGCGAAGGCGGCCCCCUGGACAAAGACUGACGCUCAGGUGCGAAAGCGUGGGGAGCAAACA
rnacentral:rRNA from 1 species